rnacentral:rRNA from 1 species
UACGGAGGGUGCAAGCGUUAAUCGGAAUUACUGGGCGUAAAGCGCACGCAGGCGGUUGGAUAAGCUAGAUGGGAAAGACCCGGGCUCAACCUGGGAAUUGCAUUUAAAACUGUCCAGCUAGAGUUUUGUAGAGGGGGGUAGAAUUCCAGGUGUAGCGGUGAAAUGCGUAGAGAUCUGGAGGAAUACCGGUGGCGAAGGCGGCCCCCUGGACAAAGACUGACGCUCAGGUGCGAAAGCGUGGGGAGCAAACAGG